UCCUUAGCAAUGCGGGCACAUAUGAACAUGGGACCAAUGCAGAUGCUAUCAGCUGCCAGGUGCACAUGAAACAGGUCAGCCAGUGUCAUAGGUGCAAAUCUGCUGACAGAUGGGGCUUAAAGGGAACCUGACCCAG